rnacentral:rRNA from 1 species
AUUGAACGCUGGCGGCGUGCUUAACACAUGCAAGUCGAUCGGUAACAGGUGUAGCAAUACAUGCUGACGAGAGGCGGACGGGUGAGUAAUGCUUGGGAAUCUGCCUAUUAGUGGGGGACAACCCGGGGAAACUCGGGCUAACACCGCAUACGCUCUACGGAGGAAAGCCGGGGACCGCAAGGCCUGGCGCUAAUAGAUGAGCCCAAGUCGGAUUAGCUAGUUGGUAGGGUAACGGCCUACCAAGGCGACAAUCCGUAGCUGGUCUGAGAGGACGACCAGCCACACCGGAACUGAGACACGGUCCGGACUCCUACGGGAGGCAGCAGUGGGGAAUAUUGGACAAUGGGGGCAACCCUGAUCCAGCGACGCCGCGUGGGUGAAGAAGGCCUGCGGGUUGUAAAGCCCUUUC